CACCGGCGGCCCGAGUGGUGAUCGUGAUUAUUGGGUCUAAAGGGUCCGUAGCCGGUUUGGUCAGUCCUCCGGGAAAUCUGAUAGCUCAACUAUUAGGCUAUCGGGGGAUACUACCAGACUUGGAACCGGGAGAGGUAAGAGGUACUACAGGGGUAGGAGUGAAAUCUUGUAAUCCCUGUGGGACCACCUGUGGCGAAGGCGUCUUACCAGAACGGGUUCGACGGUGAGGGACGAAAGCUGGGGGCACGAACCGGAUUAGAUACCCGGGUAGUCCCAGCCGUAAACGAUGCUCGCUAGGUGUCAGGCAUGGCGCGACCGUGUCUGGUGCCGCAGGGAAGCCGUGAAGCGAGCCACCUGGGAAGUACGGCCGCAAGGCUGAA
rnacentral:rRNA from 2 species